ACUUUACAGUUUACAUGAAAAAUGAAGAGUGCACGAGUAGCCAAAGAUUUGAAAUCGGCAGUACUGCAAAAAAUUAAAGAGAACAAGGUUACCUUGUAUGGACAGUUUAGUGAUACUUUGACAAAAAAGGAUAAAAGUGAUGCGUGGAAGCAAAUAUUUGAUUUUGCGGUUAGUAUUGGAGCAGUAAAAAAAAAAAAAAAAAGGUUUGGGAAUAUUUGAGAGAGACAUUUUGCCCAAAUUUGAGACGAGCAACUAUGGUGAGUUACAGUAAAUUCUUGCCAUAUGUUUUUAUUGAACUGAAAACUGAACAGAUUUAAAUUACUAUUAUUUGUUCAAAAUAUUUUAUUUCCAGAACAAAGUAGAUAAUGCGAACCAAACUGGGGCAGCAGGUGGAACACAUGCCAAGUAGAAUGACAUUGACAACUUUGUUCUUGACAUAAUUGGGAAAGACUCGCCAACUAUAACAAGUUUGGAUGUACCUGAAACAUGGAGCAAUGCAUCCACAAAUUUAUCAGAGGAAAAAUGUUUCACUGCUCAAGGUGAUGAACAGUGUGACGAUGAUUGUCAUACUUCUAUAACACAAAUCUCUAAAAAACGGAAAAAUGCAUCUUUGCAGCCCACUACAAACAUGAACGAGAAGUAUGAACUGCAAGUUCAGAACAUGGAAAUUGUUAAAUGAAAAACUGAAAGUGGAGACAUACAAGUUACAUCUGGAGACACUAAAACUUAUAAAAGAACUUGGUUUUCCUCCAAAUUACACAUUGUGCGAAGUGCAAAAUGAAACUGAUGAAAUUGAUCUAUUCGAAAAUACAGUUAUAACUAAUGUGAACACUGUUGAUGAAAAUGUGUGAUACAGGGUUGGGUAAUGACGUGUAGAAUAUUAAUAUUCUACAUACGUGUAGAAAAUAGUGUAGAAAAUGUAUAAUAUGUAGAAUAUACGCAGAAUACAUAUGUAGAAUAUUCAGAAAUAAAUGUAAAUCUACCUUUCAGGUAGUUGGAAUAUUCUUUAAGGUUAUUCCCAGUAUCUGACUUCUAAAUCAUUAAUAAUGGUGCCCUAGAACUGUCAAUCUGCCAUUUCCAGAUCUGUUAAAAAUGGUUUUGUUUUCGCAAUUGGGCCUAGUAAGACACUCAUUGUCCACUUAAUCUUUGUGCUCCUCUAAGCAGCCUAGACAACCCUGAGCAGUGCAAGUGUUUCUGCAGCUAAAAGUAUUCAUAAAAUACAUAGUAAAAGACGUUGUUACGUAGGACAUACCUUCAAAGGAGUGUAUCAGGCUGUCAGGAUUAUUGCACAGAAUAAACAACACAAAAAUGUAUGUAACAAUUUAUUUUUUUUGGAACUCUCUAGUCCAGGGGUUCCCAAAGUGUGCGCCACGGCGCCCUGGUGCGCCGUAGAAAGUUAAGAAGGGCGCCGUGAAGCGAUUAUCUUCACCAUUCUCCGAAACCUCAACUUAAGUGUUCGCGGGUACAAAAUAAACAAUUUAAUUUCUAGCGCUCGCGUAGUGCUUCGCUUACUUGCGCACUCGCCGAUACUUAUCUACGACAAGCCCGAGACAACUGUGGUCCCGGUAAAAAUGUGAACUACCCAAGGACAGACGGACCCUUACCUCUCCCUAGUCAGACUGAAGGGUCGGAACGCAUGUCGCGGGUGGGACGACAAGUAGAGCUGUUACCAUAAGUCACGACACAGUGCGCGGACACGGGCGUAUCGGUGUUCAAGUAUUUAACAAAUCCUUUGAAAGCGGAGCAAGGUUUCGAAGCGUGCGUGACAUUAUAUAACAUGUAUGGACAACAAAUCACAAAACUAUAUAUAGCCAGUGCAGGGAAGUGAUUAGCAUUUGUAACAUGUCAGGAGUUAAAGAACUAAGUGGCUGAAUGGGAGUUUGUUACAUGCACUUAGCAAAAAACUGUGUUGAAACGUUCAAUAGACGUAAACAAUGAAGAAAGACCGUAGUGUGUCGCAGUGUGUGCUCUGUUUGAAAAUUUUAUCAACCGAAAGUAUGCUUCCAAGUAAGUUAAAGCGACAUCUUGAAACCAUUCACCCAGCUAUGGUUGAAAAAUAGCGUGAUUUUUUUUAAAUAAGAAAUUACAAAAUUUAAAAAAAAAACACAAAAUGUGUUUCCUCAAAAAGGCUCAAUACAUAACAAAGCACCGUUAGCAUCCUUCAAGGUGGCAUACAGAGUGGCGAAAUUAAAAAAACCUUAUACUAUUGCAGAAGAUCUUGUUCUAUCGGCUGCUCUCGACAUGGUGAAUAUUAUGUUGGGAAAAUCGGCGGGAAAAAUAAUUUCUAAGGUACCCUUAUCUAACAACACUAUUAGUCGAAGAAUCUAUGACAUAGCUGAGGAUAUAAAUAGACCAUUAAUAGAAAAAAUGAAAGGCAAGGAGUUUGGUCUACAACUUGACGAGGCUAGUGACAGUAUUAAUGAUGCACAUCUGAUAUUUUACGUACGCUUUGUGGCUGACAAUAUUAUUGUCGAAGAACUCUUAUUCUGUAAAAACAUUACCGAAAGUGCAAAGGCUCAUGACUUGUUUGAAAUUCUUGACAAGUUUAUUAUAGAAAAUGAUUUGAAUUGGGGAAAAUGUAUUUGUGUAUGUACAGAUGGUGCUCGAUCAAGGUCUGGCAGGUACGGAGGAUUACAAGCGCUUAUUUGUAAAAAAGCCUCGCAUGAUGUGUGGACCCAUUGCAUCAUCCAUGGAGAAGCACUUGCGUCAAAGUCUAUGAGUUCUGAAUUAAACCAAGUAUUAGAACAUGUCAUUGGCACUCUAAAUUACAUUAAAACUAGACCCCUAAAAGUCAGACUUUUAAAAAAAAACUAUGCAUAGAUAUGGGAGCUGAACAUACAGCACUGAUAUAUUACUGCAAUUCACGAUGGCUUUCCUGUGGAAAUGUCUUAAUUCGUUUGUUAGAAUUUCAUGAAGAAAUUCACAGUUUUUUACAACAAGAGCAUCAUGCAAACUCCAGAUACUUUGCUGAACCAGAUUUUUUGCUAAAACUAGCAUAUUUGUGCGACAUAUUUGAAAAACUUAACAAACUGAAUCUGUCUUUGCAAGGCAACAACAUGCACAUUCUAAAACUACUGGAGAAGAUCGCUGCGUUUAAGAAAAAACUGCAGUUUUGGAUUAAAAAAAUGAAUGAAAAUCGCGGUCAAGAUUGUUUCCCGCAGUUGUAUGAAUAUGCGACAUCAAAUGAGCUUGUUGUCUCACAAGACCUGAUGACCCUUUUCACGGAACACCUUUCGAAGCUCAUUGAAUGGUUUUCAAAAUACUUUGCCGAAGACGAUGUCGAUAAAUAUGCAUGGAUCCAAGACCUAUUCCAUGCACAAGCUCCGCCAGAAUUUACAUCGGAAGAAGAAGAAAGUCUCAUUGAACUCUCUUGCGACAGCAGCCUUAGAACUAGAUUCACAUGUUCAGAUUUGGUGGAGUUUUGGAUAUCGGUUCAAAAUAAAUAUCCCACUUUAGCUUCAAAAGCUAUAAGAAUUUUCAUUCCUUUUGCAACAUUUUAUUUGUGCGAAGCUGGAUUUUCAGCUGUAGCUAUAAUCAAGAGCAAAUAUCGCUCAAAGAUCAAUGUGGAGCAAGAAAUGCGAGUAGCAGUGUCAAACCUUAUUCCACGUUUUGAAAAAAUGUGUGAUGAUCACCAAGUUUACACAUCACAUUGACUAGCUAGGUAGCUUUUUUUAUUUUUGUUGUACUUAAGUCUCUCUUGAAUGUUUUUGUGUUAAUUUUAUAUUCUUAUAAAUAUAAAUAUACAGUUCAGAUUCAUAAUGUGGAUAUUUUAAUUUUUGUGCUUAUGUACCUAAUUAGUAUCAUUGUACCUAUCUAUUUCGACAAGCCAAAUAGGUAAGGGCGCCGAGACAAAAUAUUAAACAUAUAUGUGCGCCGCGGACUGAAAAAGAUUGGGAAACCCUGCUCUAGUCAAUCAGACUAACCAAGUAAAAGUUUUAAUUGCCAAUCCUUAUUAGUAUUAUUAUUAUUAAUUAUAUUUUUUCCAACACAAAGUUAGACUUCAGUAUAAGUUAAAUAAAUUCUGUUCAGUUGGUUUGGUACUACUGCCAACAUACUUUUGCUUUUUUUUUCCACCAACACAAAAACAGUAAAUACAAGAUGGCAGGUAGACCUAAACAUAGUUUAUGGAGUCAGCAAAAAUUUAAGUAUGCCAAAGAAAAUAAUAAGAGUGUGGCACUGUGCACUGUUUGUGAAAAGACACUGAAGAACACUGCAGUGAAAAGGCUUGAAUCACAUAGACGAAAGUGGCUGUUCCGUGGUGUCUGAGGCAGGCUCAGAGCUUGACGUGCGUGCCCGCGAACCCCUUGGCUCCCAGCCCUGUGACUCGGAACGUGGAGCCGCUGAUUGGGUACUUCCUCUUGUCGUCCUCGGAGAGGGCGAGCACGCCGGUGGUGACGUACAGCUCGUCCAGCUGGGGGCCUCCGAACGCGGGGCACGUCACUUGCGGGCACGGGAAGUCCACCGCAGACACCAGCUUGCCCGCGGUCGGGUCCACUCUGAUCACCUGCAAGCGCGCGUCGUUCAGGCGAACCAACCGCAACUGAUCAGUAGCACUGCAUCAGUUAUGCUUUAGCACACAUGAGCAGCUUUCUUCAGCAAAAGUGGGAAUUGGAUAUUAUACAUAAAAUUUAAAUACUAACUAAAAAAUUACAUCAAGUAACUAUAACUAAAUCUGGGCAAAAAUUAAUUUAUGUGCGUGAAAAAUAUAAAUUUGUUUUGCCAUUGAAAAUAUUUUUAAAUUGUUUACAAUGUACAAAAAAAUAAAGUUAACAUUAUAAACAUUAAUUAUUGGGGUAGCUAUUUAACAAGUCCUAGUGUACUAUUCUCUGGCUGGGUACGCUACUAAAGCUCACUUUAACAGGUCUGCCUAGUCAGGGGUGUAUGUGCGCUAGUGAGGCGGGAUUAUAAGCGUGACGCUCGCUGGUGUUACUAGCGUGGUAUCGUUUCUAAGCGCAAGGCUCUAAACUGGUGUGCAGUCUUCUCAUUAUUGCAUAGGGAAACUAUGAGAUUUGAGUGGCAACAAUAACAAUAUAUGGUUGAGAAAUGAAGAUACAGGAUAAUACAAGUCCCUUGGGUACUUUCAAGAAUCUGUACCGGACAUUUCAUACCUAAAACUUAUACUGAAAACAUGUGCUUUAGCCAUUUUCAUGCUUAUAAAUAUUUAGUUUUGAAACCAAAAUAUGUAAACAGAUAUGUCAUCAGCAUAUUCUUAAUUGCUUUCCAUAAACAGAAAUCACUGGGCUAUCUUAAGUAAGUUUUUUUUCUUAAGCUCUGUGUACACAAAGAUGUUGAACUACUUGCUCACUAUAAGGCUAAAAAAUGUAAAGUUGUUCUUUAAAUCUUUUACUUAUUUGGAACCCAUUGGAAAUAACACAACUCUCUGUGACAAGAAUAGCUUCUUAAAAUUGCAUGGAUGUGAUACAUACUUGUUAUAGUGAAAAUAGACAAAAAUAAUACAAAAUCCUGUGCAUAUCAGUAUGAUGUCGAUCUGGGGCUGCACUCUCCCUUAACAGCCUAGUGUAGAUUGACAACCCUCUUUCUCUCCCCUUACCACUUGAGGGUGAACCAUGUGCACAGGCCAAAAGAAUGGUCAUGGCAGGACAGUACAUCGUAUUCAUUAAGGGUUUCAGAAAAAACCACACAUUUUAAAAACAGCUUGAAGAUAUCUGAGUAGUGUGUGUUUACAAAAAGCUUUCAAGGAUAUGCUUCUGGGGACAGAUAGUAGAUUUGUUUCAUAUUUUGUUUUUAAACUAAAUUUUUUGAAGAGUGUAAAUGGCUAAAACAUAUGUUUUCAGGAUAAUUUGUAUGCAUGAAACCCAUGGUAGAAAUUAUAGAAAUUCUCACAUUACCUGCUGUACACAUUUAUUCUCAUUUCUCUGCCAAAUACUAUUAUGGUUACCCCUGAAAUCUCAUAUUUGUCAUAAGCACAACAAGACCAAAGCCUUGCGUUUAGAGGCAACACCGCUAAAAGCACUUGCAAGCCUACCACUUAUUAUGCCCCCCCCUCAUUAAAACAACUACACAUCUAACUAAGCACGUGCCUUAUUGACAUAAAAAAUAAUAAUUAUAAUAUUGUCUUCUCAUUCCCCAAGAAAUUUUCUUCCAGCAGACUCAAUGAAUCUUAAAACUGUAAGUAUGUAGAAACAAACCUGUUACACUUCCUUAAGUGGUUGAGGGCUUCUAAGACAUUAGUAUUUUAUCCACGUAAGUAUUAGUUUCUAUUGUCCAUUUUAAAGUAAAUUAAUUUGGUGACCCUAACUAAGUAAUUAUUUUUUCUAAAACCUGCAGCGCAUCCUUCAAAGAGUACCUAACUGUCUUAUUGUGUGGCGUGAUCAUGCCAAUCCAACACCUUCCAGCGCUGCCACCUUCCCAGUUUUCACUUACAACGACCAGUUCAGUUUGCAAGUCAGCCUUUAUUCAAGACAAAAGAUGUAUAGACUGUCCAGCCACAUGAGUGGACCAGACCUCUAGGUAAGCCAAUAAUUGUGGGUUGUAGGAACUUUUAUUGUUUAAUGUGUAAUUAGGGGAACUGUGUAACUGUGAUGAGUGAAAUGAAGUCUGUGUUUCGGAAGUUAUGUCCCUGUGACUGACCAUUAAUUAGCAUGUGUCUGGGUCGACGCAUGUGAGACAUCAUAAAGUCCAAGAUAAUUUAGUUCUACGGCAUGCCCGAUCCUCAAGAGUAGGCCGGGUCUUUGGAAAAGUGAAGAUAAGGGUAACCACGUAUUGCUCCCACGAGACACAUCAUAGGCUGAGAGUGUCUCACGCCAGGUCCGUGUGCCUCCGCAUACAAAACAACAUAGCACAAGCUACUCCCUCGUUAGACUCCCGGUAUAAGUAAGCCUUACCAUAUAAUUUUAUUAAAUGAUCUAAUAUUUCAAAUCAUAUAUUAUCAUAAUUCUUUGUCAAAAUGUUUUGCAAAUUAAAAUGAUGGUUCAUAGCCUACUGGAAAAUGUAAUGUCUAUACACAGAUCAAACCAACCAUAAAAGUUUACAUAUAUCAUACAUUUCUUCCAAAUAAUAAUAAAUUACACAUUACAAUAAAGUGUCAAAUUACAGCAUAUUGAACUAAACCUGAUUACAAAAAGAAUAUUGGUUGGAUUAUGUGAAAUGAGAGUACAUGAUAUGUUUUAAAAUACUCUUUAUAUUUUUGCCUUAUUUCUAAUUUUUUUUCUUUUCAGUUUUAAAUAUAAAGUCAUUCUAUACAUAAUUGUAAACUUGUAUAUUAUAUAAUGCAAAAUAAAUGUAGAAUCCAAAA